UACGAAGGGGGCUAGCGUUGCUCGGAAUCACUGGGCGUAAAGGGUGCGUAGGCGGGUUUUUAAGUCAGAGGUGAAAUCCUGGAGCUCAACUCCAGAACUGCCUUUGAUACUGAAAGUCUUGAGUAUGGGAGAGGUGAGUGGAACUGCGAGUGUAGAGGUGAAAAUUCGUAGAUAUUCGCAAGAACACCAGUGACGAAGGCGGCUCACUGGCCCAUAACUGACGCUGAGGCACGAAAGCGUGGGGAGCAAACAGG
rnacentral:rRNA from 1 species